rnacentral:rRNA from 1 species
GACGAACGCUGGCGGCGUGCUUAACACAUGCAAGUCGAGCGGUAAGGCCCUUCGGGGUACACGAGCGGCGAACGGGUGAGUAACACGUGGGUGACCUGCCUCUAGCUCUGGGAUAAGCCUGGGAAACUGGGUCUAAUACCGGAUAUGACUCCACGGCGCAAUGUUGUGGGGUGAAAGCCUUGUGUGGCUAGAGAUGGGCCCGCGGCCUAUCGAGCUUGUUGGUGGGGNGAUGGCCUACCAAGGCGACGACGGGUAGCCGGCC